UCUUUCAUCCUGUCAUCCAUAUUCCAUAGCCUACGUAAGUGCUUUCAUCAUUACGUUGGAAAAAGAUAUGGCGACCACGUUACGAGGUGUCGGGUAACGAGAGGCGAUUUACCGGUUUACAAUUAAUGCUGCAUCAAAACAGCAGUACAAAGUCCCGUGAAAUGUGGAUUGUGGUCGGGGAGAAGAACAGUUUUCCACAGUUAAACUGUAAUAUUUGGAUUGCACAGUCCGGAAUAAAUUGUUGGUGGUGGUGAUUGUUUAGAAAAAACUAUUGCCGUGGAGUACUGUAAGAUGUGGUACUACACAAGCUGUGCUGCUCAUCAGUUUGAACAGUUGAUUGCAGUUUUUUCCACUACUGAAUUAGAAAAGGCCCUUUGUCAAGAGAAAAAUCCAAUCUAAGCCGAAAAAUUGAGACAGGCACCAGCCAAUCCUUUGUGGAAUUUUGCUAUGGACGUCUUUCAAAUGAACCUCAAUGUUAAGAAAGGAGAAGAAUCUGAACCCAAAGUAGAGCUUGAAGAACCAUCUACUACCGAUAUACCAAUAACCAACGGAACUUAUUCCAUGCGCUCCAAGACGGCAUUAUUAUGGCGUGCUCUUGCAGACUCAUGACAAUGACUUACGACGGUUCUGGUGAAGUCAUCAAGAAGGAAAGCAGUGGUAACCCUCACCAAAUCAAAAUCCUUCACCAACCGACAUCAUUUUUAAGUUCGGAAUGGAAGGCCGGCAUCUGUUUGCGGUAUGUAAGAGCAUGCUGGCGUCAGAAGAGACAUCGUAAAAGUUACUUGUUCAAGUUCCCUUUAGCAAACCUUUAUUACUUCCAUAUCCCAGACCAAUUGCCUAAAGUACCAGAUCUAGAAACCCAAAGUUGAUGAAAUUUGACUUGAGGAUUAAUUGAGUUCUACAGUAUCACGACGAAAAGCAUCUAGCACGAUGUCGUUUAAGACUUCCCAUUGGCUAGACCUCUGUUCAGAAUGUCUCGGUUUUCCACGCAAACGACAUCAAAUCGUUGAGCGAAUUAUCUUUGAAAGUUCGAACACUCUGUGCAUGUCCCGCUGAGAAGAAAUGGUGACCAAAGCCGGCAACCUAGGCAGAGACAGUAAAAUUGGACAAGGAAUUCACCCCAUCUCGUCCACGAUUGCGUAAACGCAAGGGCCACUAGAUUUUGGUACUGGAGGUAAACCGAAAUCUAAGACCAUGAAGAAACUUAAUGCUUAUUCCUAAUAGCAAUUGCGCUCACUACGUAAUUCUCUAACCCAUCACUAAAGAACACCACUCCUGCAACACAAACUAAUGUUGUUCAACUCAAUUGGUGUUCACGCAGCUGGGACAACUGGAAUUCCCAUGGGUCGGCGUAUUCAUCACCAUUCAUUCACCACCAUAAAUGGUAAAACAUAUUUUAGGUUGAUCGCGCAAUGAUGAGUUCAGCUUCGGGACCCCUACCUGGCUGUACUAAUUGCUCUCCAUUGCCUCCGCCACUCCAAUCAAUGUCUUCUGGAAAAUACAGUAUCGCUUCACUGAGAUGUAUACUUUGACGUUCCAAUGGCAAACUUAAAAGGAAAUGUGACGAUUCGAACGUUGUGAUUCGUUCACAGGACAAAGAAAUAUUAACCUCCGCAGUCCGAAGCAGUUUUACCUGUAGAAUUUUGAUCCCAAUUCUCAGCGGGUAGACUGGCGGUCGUUUGGUCAACUAAACGGCGGCUAAGCGUGUCCGGAUGAUAAUCAGAUGUUGCUGGAUGAAUGAGACGUUGUGACCAUCUCCAAAUUCGUGGUAGAUCAUCAUUCAGCUCAAUGUACUCCGGAUCGGUUGCUAUCAGUAACUGUUAUAGACGAUUUACUUUUCGUGUCCAAUGGACUUGGUUUCUCAACAGAAGUUGUUUUCCUAAUGAAAUAACACGUUUAAUGGUCCGUAAUAUUAAAAUAAUUAUCAAUUUUAGUCGUGUGACACCUGCCGAAGUGAAGGACACGAAAAUGCAAUAUGCAAAACAUAACGAAACGCAUUUCGACUUCCAGUGCUGGUGAAAUUUAAAGUUAAAAAAAACAAAACAAUUUCUAUUACAAACUUCUCAGAAGUUGGGUGUAACGAAAAGUCCCUCAAAGAAGUAUGUAAGCUUAUUCUUCACCUGGAAGCAUCCAAAGUUCUUCAAGGUCUAGGCUGCGUUAAACGUUGUUGGCUCAGCCUCUCCAGCGGAAACCUACUAUGACUAAUUGCUCCCUAGUAAAACUGGCCUCGCUCUCUUCUUCCUUCUUCAGGUAAUCUCCCUGAGCACAAUGAAACAAGGCAUAGUCUCCCCUGUCUUGAUUGACCGAACUGUGCAAGGAAAUUUCAUAUUGAUAAAAUUAAUAUAUUGAAGGUAAAAUAUAAACAUGUAUGAUGAGGGAUGAUAAAAAUAUUUAUAAAAAAGUGUCAAUAAGA